CACGUAGGGUGCGAGCGUUGUCCGGAUUUAUUGGGCGUAAAGAGCGUGUAGGCGGCUUUGCAAGUCCGUUGUGAAAACUCGAGGCUCAACCUCGAGACGCCGGUGGAAACUGCAAAGCUAGAGUCCGGAAGGGGCGAGUGGAAUUCCUGGUGUAGCGGUGAAAUGCGCAGAUAUCAGGAGGAACACCUAUGGCGAAGGCAGCUCGCUGGGACGUGACUGACGCUGAGACGCGAAAGCGUGGGGAGCAAACAGG
rnacentral:rRNA from 1 species